rnacentral:tRNA from 1 species
GUCCCGGUAGCUCAGCAGGAUAGAGCAAUGGCCUUCUAAGCCAUCGGUCGGGGGUUCGAAUCCCUCCCGGGACG